rnacentral:rRNA from 1 species
AGAGUUUGAUCCUGGCUCAGGACGAACGCUGGCGGCACGCUUAACACAUGCAAGUCGAACGAGAGAAGAGGAGCUUGCUUUUCUGAUCUAGUGGCGGACGGGUGAGUAACACGUGAGCAAUCUGCCUUUCAGAGGGGGAUACCGAUUGGAAACGAUCGUUAAUACCGCAUAACAUAAUUGAACCGCAUGAUUUGAUUAUCAAAGAUUUAUCGCUGAAAGAUGAGCUCGCGUCUGAUUAGCUAGUUGGUAAGGUAACGGCUUACCAAGGCGACGAUCAGUAGCCGGACUGAGAGGUUGAUCGGCCACAUUGGGACUGAGACACGGCCCAGACUCCUACGGGAGGCAGCAGUGGGGAAUAUUGCACAAUGGAGGAAACUCUGAUGCAGCGAUGCCGCGUGAGGGAAGAAGGUUUUAGGAUUGUAAACCUCUGUCUUCAGGGACGAAAAAAGACGGUACCUGAGGAGGAAGCUCCGGCUAACUACGUGCCAGCAGCCGCGGUAAUACGUAGGGAGCGAGCGUUGUCCGGAAUUACUGGGUGUAAAGGGAGCGUAGGCGGGAUCGCAAGUCAGAUGUGAAAACUAUGGGCUUAACCCAUAAACUGCAUUUGAAACUGUGGUUCUUGAGUGAAGUAGAGGUAAGCGGAAUUCCUAGCGUAGCGGUGAAAUGCGUAGAUAUUAGGAGGAACAUCAGUGGCGAAGGCGGCUUACUGGGCUUUAACUGACGCUGAGGCUCGAAAGCGUGGGGAGCAAACAGGAUUAGAUACCCUGGUAGUCCACGCCGUAAACGAUGAUUACUAGGUGUGGGGGGACUGACCCCUUCCGUGCCGCAGCAAACGCAAUAAGUAAUCCACCUGGGGAGUACGACCGCAAGGUUGAAACUCAAAGGAAUUGACGGGGGCCCGCACAAGCAGUGGAGUAUGUGGAUUAAUUCGAAGCAACGCGAAGAACCUUACCAGGUCUUGACAUCGUAUGCAUAGCUCAGAGAUGAGUGAAAUCUCUUCGGAGACAUAUAGACAGGUGGUGCAUGGUUGUCGUCAGCUCGUGUCGUGAGAUGUUGGGUUAAGUCCCGCAACGAGCGCAACCCUUACUGUUAGUUGCUACGCAAGAGCACUCUAGCAGGACUGCCGUUGACAAAACGGAGGAAGGUGGGGAUGACGUCAAAUCAUCAUGCCCCUUAUGACCUGGGCCUCACACGUACUACAAUGGCUGUCAACAGAGGGAAGCAAAGCCGCGAGGUGGAGCGAACCCCUAAAAGCAGUCUUAGUUCGGAUUGUAGGCUGCAACCCGCCUACAUGAAGUCGGAAUUGCUAGUAAUCGCAGAUCAGCAUGCUGCGGUGAAUACGUUCCCGGGCCUUGUACACACCGCCCGUCACGCCAUGGGAGUCGGUAACACCCGAAGCCUGUAGUCUAACCGCAAGGAGGACGCAGUCGAAGGUGGGAUUGAUGACUGGGGUGAAGUCGUAACAAGGUA